GACGGGGGGGGGCAAGUGUUCUUCGGAAUGACUGGGCGUAAAGGGCACGUAGGCGGUGAAUCGGGUUGAAAGUGAAAAGUCGCCAAAAAAGUGGCGGAAUGCUCUCGAAACCAAUUCACUUGAGUGAGACAGAGGAGAGUGGAAUUUCGUGUGUAGGGGUGAAAUCCGUAAAUAUACGAAGGAACGCCAAAAGCGAAGGCAGCUCUCUGGGUCCCUACCGACGCUGGGGGUGCGAAAGCGUGGGGAGCAAACAGG
rnacentral:rRNA from 1 species